UGAAGAUGAUGAUGAUGAUGAUGAUGAUGAUGCGACUCCUUCCGGCGGCCAGGCCAGCUUAAUUAAUUAACUUCUUUUCGCUUGGCUCGAAAACAAGAAUAAACCAGCCGCACAUAUAUCAUACAUAUGAUGCGAUGAGACCAUGAGUAUACUUUUUUUUGAGGGUAGACCAUGAGUAUACUUAUUCAUUCAUUUACUAUAGGGAGAGAGCGUGGACAACUCCUAAUUUGAGGUCCAGAACCUGUGUCGUGCAACAAGUUCUAGGUGCAACCUUGCAACUAGCUAAUAGUCUAUAUCUAUACCUACUAAUAAAGUACGAUGUGUUUG
rnacentral:lncRNA from 1 species